CUACGGGGUGCUGCAGUGAGGAAUAUUGCACAAUGGGGGAAACCCUGAUGCAGCAACGCCGCGUGGAGGAUGACGCAUUUCGGUGUGUAAACUCCUUUUAUAUGUCAAGAAAAUGACGGUAGCAUAUGAAUAAGCACCGGCUAACUCUGUGCCAGCAGCCGCGGUAAUACGGAGGGUGCAAGCGUUACUCGGAAUCACUGGGCGUAAAGGACGCGUAGGCGGGUUGGAAAGUCAGGUGUGAAAUCCUACAGCUUAACUGUAGAACUGCACUUGAAACUUCUAAUCUAGAGUAUGGGAGGGGGAGAUGGAAUUAGUGGUGUAGGGGUAAAAUCCGUAGAUAUCACUAGGAAUACCUAAAGCGAAGGCGAUCUCCUGGAACAUUACUGACGCUAAGGCGUGAAAGCGUGGGGAGCAAACAGGAUUAGAUACCCUUGUAGUC
rnacentral:rRNA from 1 species